GACGUAGGGCGCGAGCGUUGUCCGGAUUUAUUGGGCGUAAAGAGCUCGUAGGCGGCUUGUUACGUCGACUGUGAAAACCCGCGGCUCAACUGCGGGCCUGCAGUCGAUACGGGCAGGCUAGAGUUCGGUAGGGGAGGCUGGAAUUCCUGGUGUAGCGGUGAAAUGCGCAGAUAUCAGGAGGAACACCGGUGGCGAAGGCGGGUCUCUGGGCAGUAACUGACGCUGAGGAGCGAAAGCGUGGGGAGCGAACAGG
rnacentral:rRNA from 1 species